GACCUCUGCGCCUCGUCCGCUCCCCCUUCGUCGCGAUCCCGCGCCUCCCCGUGACCGGUGAGCCUUGCCAGAGCUUCGACCGGACGCGAGCGGCGGCACCCGAGGCCGUGCCUUCGCCCCGCCUAUAUAAGGAAGCCCCGACCCCCUCCGAGCUCACCACCAGCCUCACAACCCUCCUCUGGUCCCGCCCAGCCUCUCCAAUGAGCCUCUGGAGCUAUCGCCGACCCCCAUGGCCGUCAUGGCCGCCGCGAAGCUCGGCUUAAAUCCGAGCUAUCCAAGCCCUCCCCUCCCUCCUCAACUCACCAGAGGACCACUCGGACCCCAUAGCUCCUCUCCAGCCUCUCAUUUUCCCGCCUGAGUGCCCCAGGCCACGACCCCAGGAUUCGGCCGCCACUGCACGCUCUCUGUCUUCGUGAGGCAUCAUCAUUUCGUCCCUCCACGGCGCCCGAAGCCUGCUCAGAUGGACGCGGCGCCCCUCGUCGGUCUCUCCGGUGGCCUCGGCGCGUCCGGAGACUGCCGGAGCUGCCCGGGCCAUCGCUGGUGUCGAGGCCCUCCUCUGUUCGGUCGUGCCCGGUCAGGAGGAGGAAGGAGCCAGGAGGAGAGAGAUGGAUAAGGUGGGUCCCACCUGUAAGCCUGCCCUGUUUGAAAAUAUUUCUUUACAGAUGGGUCCCUAGCAGAAAAACAAUCGUAUCUUUUUAACCGUAGAUCCAACUCAGCCCCCUUCGAGAGAGAACGUUUUCCGGCGAUUCUUUCCGCGAGCUUCUGGCACUUCUUCCCGGUGAUUUCUUCCACCCCAGGCAAGC